GAUAAUUAAUUAUUUGAUAGCAGAGUAUCGCUAAUUGUUUUAUGGCUUGGCAACUGUGUGGUGCUUUAGAAUUGCUUCUAAGCCAAAAUAAAAAACCAUGCACCUUCCAGAUAUUUUGAAAAAAAGGAAUGAUGUUUGAGUAGAGGGAGUGAUAGAGGGAAAGUCCAAAGGUUUCUGCUUGGAGGGGAAAGAGGAAGAGAACAAAUAUCCUUUGAGGACCUACUGUGGGCUGGGCGCUGUCAACUGACUUUCUACCUUGUUCUUUCUGAUCCACUGCUAUUAGAAGUUAGGGCUAUUAGCUUGGCAGAGACUCGGAGAGGUUAAUAAAUUUUGCACAAAGUCGCAGAGCCAGUGAGCAGCAGAGCUGCAGUUUCAGCCCAGAGUCCAGCUGGGCCUGGGGAGUAUGGAGAGGUGGGGAGAGGAAGACCCGUCAGUGGUGAAGAUGGGCAGAAAGGAAAGGAGGAACUUGUGCGCAGAACAUCUCAUAGGAGUCAUGUUCCGUGGAACACACUUUGGGAACUAUUGCUAAUGGUGAAAGCCAGGAAGACUGAAGAGGAACAGGGAAGUUAAAAUCUGUAGUUUGGGAGCGCCUGGGUGGCACUGUUGUUUGAGCAUCUGACUCUUGAUUUCGGCUCAGGUCCUGAUUUCAGGGGUAUAGGAUGGAGUCCCAAAGUAGGCUCCCCACUCAGUGUGGAGUCUGCUUGGGAUUCUCUCUCCCUCUCCCUCUGCCGCUCCCACUCAUGCUCUCUCUCUCAUUCACAAAUAAAUACAUCUUUAAGGAAAAAAAAAACUAUAAAAUCUGUAGUUUGGCAGGAAAAGACAGAAGUUUGAAUAUCUUGAAAUCAGACAAAAAGGAAACCCUGUCUUAGAGGUCAGUGACAAGGGCAAACUGAACAUGAAUUUUGGCAAGAGGUGGCAUUUUUACAUAAAUAUCUAGUAUCAGAGCAUUUGAUAUUACUGGGCUUAUAUUUUUAUAAGACAAUAACCGGCCAUCCUGUCUCAGGCAAGCUGUCCUAUUUGCCACAGCCCUCCCCACCCCCUGCUUUAUGAUAGUUGGCCCCACUUACGUCAUUUAUGCUACAUGGAAGUGUUUGGGUUUGUGACCUCUGGUCCAGCUACAUUUAUAAGCCUCAUGGAAUCUGGAACAAGGAUUUAUACUCUAUAACUGCCACUCAGGUAUUUAUUUUUAGCACGAGUUCUUUUUUUUUUUUUCCUCAUUGUAGAAGUUACUCAUGCUGAUAGCAGAAAACUUAGAGAUAGAGAAAAAAAGAAAAAUAAAACUACAGCAUGCAUAAUAACCAAAGCUCAGAUAAUAACCUGAACUAUUAAUCUUCUGGUAUAUUCCUUCUCAUAUUUUUCUUUGCACUUGCAUAUCUAAGUUGUUGUCAUAUUUUGGAUCACACUGUAUAUGAAGUUUUAUAUCUCCCCUUAUUCAGAGGAUAUUCUAUUAGUUCCUAAGGAUGAUUUAUUCUGCUCUAUGGUAAUAGCUGAGUUUCUAAGAAAACUCAUUUUCUUAAAAAUCACUUAUAAUGAAACCAGAGAGGUUAGGGGCUAGAAAGUUUUAAACUCACAAUAAAAAAGGUAUUUUUCUGCCUGAAGUUCUAUCUUCGAGUUGCUUUUCAUAGUCAUAAGUGCACAGCUCUAAAAGUUAAACACUCGAAUAAAUCCAACAUUAUAUGGUUCAAAAAGGAUUGUAAUAAAAAAAAUGUCAAAGUGCAUGUGAAAGACUUGAAUGUGAUUUCAUUAAAUAUAAGAAUAGAAAAUGUAACUUUUCUAAGUUUACAUAUGAUAAUUUUACAAUACACGUAAGUGUGAUGACUUAUGUGUCAGGUAUAAUAAAAAUAUAAAUAGACAUUUAAUUGUUCCAUCUACCUUCCUAAAAGUUUAUCUCUUCCAAUGGCUCAAAACCCUCUUACACUGGAAAAAUUAGGGAUGGUCUUAGAUUAGGGGCAUAGUCAUCAUUUGGCACUUUAUUUAGACCCCCAGCAUCCCAUAAUGUGAGAGGGCUUUGGUGGUCAUUCCAGGUAACUGUCUCCUUGAAGUAUGAGUCCCUUCCACAAAUCACAACAAGUGAAUGUCCAUUCUUGGCACGAAGGUCUCCUGCAAUGGAAACCAAGUACCUCAGAGGUGCGAUCCAGAGCUUGUUGCUAAAUGCUCCUUCUUCACUGAAGCUGACUGUCUUCUGCCAACUCCCACCCAAUCACUCGAUUUUGCUCUUCAAGUUGAAAUCCAGUUCUUUUCCAUAUGGCAGCCUUUUAAGUAUUUCAAGAAAGCUAUUAUUUUGCCAAGCAGUCUUUUCUAAGUGAGGUGUCUUUAAUUUGUUUGAAUUUCUACUAUAUCAUAGUUUCUAGAUGUUUCUAGAAGCUCAGAAUGAUUUCAGGAUUGCAUAAAAGUAAAAAGGAGUCAAGUGAAGAUAUCUUUGGAUCAAAGCAAGAACAGGCAGGGGGAGGGAAUCUGGACCAUGGUAGUUAUCUCCCGUGUCAUCUCAAUCACUCCUCAUAGCUCCCAAAGAGACAGUGUUGGUCAAGACAUAAGAUCCUGUAAGUGACAGAAAACCAACUCAAGCUCGCUUAAGCAAAACACCUAAAUAGAUUAAUAAAGAACACUGAAAAUCCCAAAAGUUGGUCUUGGCCUUCAUUAAGUUCACUGAGUUCCUGGAUCAACUUAUGAUCUAGGAACUUGCAGCAAGAUCAUCAACUUAUGAUCCAGGAACUCAAAUAAUGCCACUUUUUACUUCUUAGCAAUGUAGUCUGGUAAAUGGCCUUCAUUCUUGGCCAAAAUUUGGUGACUCCUUGUAACUCCAGGUUCCCAUCCUCCUAAAUUCAAGUUCAGCAGGAAAAAGCCCCUUGUAGUUCCCAUAAAAGUCUCGUUGCAUCUCGUUGGUUUUGACUACAUCAUAUGCCUGUCUCAGAACCAAUGGUUGGGCAGGGGACAUGGGUGAUCUUAUUACCCAGGCCUGAAACCCAUGUCCACUUCUGAAUUUGAGAGAAAGCUUCACCCAAAAUGUGUAGACUAUGAAUGGGGGAGAGGUGGUUCCCCAGAAGGAAGUCUGGCUGCUGUUACCCAAAGGAGUGGGAAUGGAGCACCAGGUCAUCCAUGUCUAAUUAUUAUUAUUUUAACCUUCCAUUUAGAAACAAAGGAACCAAAGCUCUGAGACAGGAAGUUUUUGGUCCAAGGUCACACAUGGAGCAAUGGCUGCAAAGCUGUUCCUUUCCCCUCUGCCACAAGGGUAUUUUUGUUGACCUGAACUGAACCAUAGGAAAUGUAUCUCCAUUUUUUAUGAUUCAGUAACUUUAGGUGACAAAGUAACUCAUUUUAAGGCCUGGUUGAUAAACUCUCCUGAAUCAUUCAUGCCACGCUACACAUUUUAUCCAGAAUUCCUGGCAAAGGUGUUAGAAUUUCUCCAUGAUUAGCCAGUGAGCUCAUCAGCAUCUUCCCAGAACCUGGGGGCCGUGGCUGCUAGGACUUCAGAGGUUAGUCACCCACUUCAUCUCGAUUUUUCAUUUCCUGGUAGCAAGUCCGCUACUCUCUGUCCCAGGGUCUUGUCUGUUCAUGGACAGUCUGGAGAUAGCAGAGGGGAGCCCUGGGGUGAUCCUGCUCCAAGGAUAAGAUCUGUUUUGCCAGUGCACUGUUUUAAGACAUAAAUAUGAAUGCAUUGGUCACAAGGGGCACUAGUCCCCAUUAUCAGUAGAGUAUUAUACAUGAAUCUGUCUGUCCUGAAGAUAUUUGAACUACUACACCCCAAAAGACACUAGAAAGUUAAACUACAUCCCUUAUCAAGAGCAGAAUAGACUGUCAUGGAAUUGUGCAUGAAAUAUAUUCAUACAUGGGAUACCAGCCAGCCAUUAAAAAGAAUAAAACGAGGUGACUAAAUAUCAGUAUAGGCAAAUCUCAAAAAUAUGUUGAGUAAAAACAGCAAAAUUACUGAAGCUUACAUGCCAGAUCACACUGUCAGUGGUGUAGGGCUGCAUGCAAAGUAAAAAAUGUAAACACAUACGUAGCCAUUUCAAGAUGGCAGGCCUUCGGGGCAAGAGGAAGGGGCUUCACGUAGUAAAAGGGAAAUGGCGCAUCAUCAAUUUUAUUCGUAAUUUUUUUUCUCAAACUGAGUGGUGGAUAUAGGGAUGUUUGUCACCUUAUUCUCUGUACUUUUUAAAAAAUAAUAAAAUAUUUGAAAUGUUUGAUAAUGGGAUGUGUUCUGCCUGAGUCAUAGUUAAGUUUCCACCUGUUGGAUGCUGUAUGGGUCAGGACUUCAUAGCAGACAUGAUCUACUCAGGGUCCCAGCCAGGUUAAGCUGAAGAAGACCUGCUAGUGUUUACAGAAUUAUUAGGAUGAAGGCACAAGGCUGAGUUUUCAGGAAUAGCUUUGAGAACCAUGCUACAAAACAAGGGGCCACCAAGAGCACCACUGCCUUUUAAGAUCAUAAAAAGACCAGACUUUCAGCAGGGACACUUGCGAAGAGAAACAGUGGGAGAAGAAGUGUGGCUGCCCCCUCACUCCUCCUUUCUGGUGGUAGAAACUCAUGGGCAUCUGGGAAGUGUAAUUCUUUUUUUUUCUUUUUUUUUUAUUUUUUAAAUUUUUUAUUUUUUAUAAACAUAUAUUUUUAUCCCCAGGGGUACAGGUCUGUGAAUCGUCAGGUGGGAAGUAUAAUUCUGAACUGUCCAGCCCCUGAAGUGGGAGAAGACACAUGAGGAGAAGGUCUCCUCCCCACAGAAAUGUAAAUUUCAGUGGAGUAAGGAUCUCAUCAUCAUGUCCACCCCUCUGUCCUCACCUACUGGACAGUGCCUGGUCUGUGGUGGAAGGUGCCAGAAAAUUAAAUCUACUCUGAAUGACCCAGGGCAUCAUCACGAACGUUGAUUUUUAUACUGGACUGUCAUUUAAUCCUUUAGAGCAGCAGCAAUUUCUGGCUCUUCCUGACUCCAUUCUUCUCAGGCCUGUGGGAUCCAGACCCAAAGGAGAGUGGAAAAGAGAUUCGAACCUCCAGGAUGGCAUUCAGGCUUAAGUUCCAAGCU